UCCCCGCCCAGGGCGUGUGGAAGCUGGCGGGAGCCGGGCGCUCCCGGACCAGCUCCCUGAGGAGGAACGCGGCCCGGGGUUUGGGCCGUCGCUUGCCGUCGCCUCCGGUACGGCCGCCGGGCAGUGCCUGCAAGGAGAGAAAGCCGAAGAAAGUGAAGUCCAGAGGGAAGAAAGGGAAAGACAAUGAGCAAGAGAAGAAUGAUUUCUGGCACCCAAGGUACACAGAGCUGCCUGGCCUUUGGGUACAGCAUGAAGACUUCCGCAGCUCUGACUUCUGAACAUUCUGGAGUGGUUACUUUGCAUUUAAAAGUGCAAAUAUGACUCAAUAACACUGAAUUGUUUUGUGGA